rnacentral:rRNA from 2 species
CGAACUCUGGUAUUGAUUGGUGCUUGCAUCAUGAUUUACAUUUGAGUGAGUGGCGAACUGGUGAGUAACACGUGGGAAACCUGCCCAGAAGCGGGGGAUAACACCUGGAAACAGAUGCUAAUACCGCAUAACAACUUGGACCGCAUGGUCCGAGCUUGAAAGAUGGCUUCGGCUAUCACUUUUGGAUGGUCCCGCGGCGUAUUAGCUAGAUGGUGGGGUAACGGCUCACCAUGGCAAUGAUACGUAGCCGACCUGAGAGGGUAAUCGGCCACAUUGGGACUGAGACACGGCCCAAACUCCUACGGGAGGCAGCAGUAGGGAAUCUUCCACAAUGGACGAAAGUCUGAUGGAGCAACGCCGCGUGAGUGAAGAAGGGUUUCGGCUCGUAAAACUCUGUUGUUAAAGAAGAACAUAUCUGAGAGUAACUGUUCAGGUAUUGACGGUAUUUAACCAGAAAGCCACGGCUAACUACGUGCCAGCAGCCGCGGUAAUACGUAGGUGGCAAGCGUUGUCCGGAUUUAUUGGGCGUAAAGCGAGCGCAGGCGGUUUUUUAAGUCUGAUGUGAAAGCCUUCGGCUCAACCGAAGAAGUGCAUCGGAAACUGGGAAACUUGAGUGCAGAAGAGGACAGUGGAACUCCAUGUGUAGCGGUGAAAUGCGUAGAUAUAUGGAAGAACACCAGUGGCGAAGGCGGCUGUCUGGUCUGUAACUGACGCUGAGGCUCGAAAGUAUGGGUAGCAAACAGGAUUAGAUACCCUGGUAGUCCAUACCGUAAACGAUGAAUGCUAAGUGUUGGAGGGUUUCCGCCCUUCAGUGCUGCAGCUAACGCAUUAAGCAUU